CGGCGGACGGGUGAGUAACACGUGGGUAACCUACCUAUAAGACUGGGACAACUUCGGGAAACCGGAGCUAAUACCGGAUAAGAUAUCGAACCGCAUGGUUCGAUAGUGAAAGAUGGUUUUGCUAUCACUUAUAGAUGGACCCGCGCCGUAUUAGCUAGUUGGUGAGGUAACGGCUCACCAAAGGCAACGAUACGUAGCCGACCUGAGAGGGUGAUCGGCCACACUGGAACUGAGACACGGUCCAGACUCCUACGGGAGGCAGCAGC
rnacentral:rRNA from 1 species